AUUCUUUUAGUAUAUUAAAGUAUAUUUAACUUCCAAUUAAAAGGGCCUUUUAGGAAAGAAUA
rnacentral:tRNA from 1 species